CUUUAACUAAGAAAACAUAACGAAAAUGCAUAAGAACUAGCUAACUAAGGCGCAUAAAUAUGCUCCUAUCAGCAAUCAUAAAGAAAAAAUUAGUUUUUGUAACAUGCUUGAAGCAAGGAACUCAAACAAACGCUACAACCUUGUGAGACUUGAGCUUAAACGUUUAUUUGGAGAGUUAAAAUCUGUGCAUUAUUGUUUUCUAAAGUCGUUGCAUGAUCUCAUUAUUCUUUGCUUGGUUACUACUUAGAAGGCGUUUCAUCGUUUAGUUCCAAAUGCUAGAACUCAUGCCCAUUUCAUUCAAAGCAUGUUACUGAUUUGCAUAACACAUAUUCAAGAUGAAGUUGUGUAGUUACCACCACCAAAGCCAAACUGCCGUGUGCCCUACCUCAUUUUUAUGUUUAAGUUAACCCCAUUGAGCCUUGUUAGCCUACAUUCUUUGUUAACCCACACUAUCCUCACCUAGCCUAGAUUAGGACCAUCCAUACCCUUGUUCUCAAAGCAUAGUAAAGCAUGAUUCAAAUUGAAUUCCUUUUGAUUAAUGUAUGGCAGAAAAAAAGUGUGGGGGAAGUGUGAGUUAGUGUGCCAUAGGCACAGGUAAAAAGAGAAAAAAGAAAAAAAAAAUAUUCGUGAAAAGAAAAAAAAAAGAGUUCAAAAGAUGUGAAAAAGAGUUCUAAAGUGUUGUUUGUUGAAGAAAAUGUCCAAAACUUUGAAUUCGGCCCUAAGAGUUGUUUAAAUCUUCCCCUUCGUGUUUAAAAGUUGAUUUCUGCAAUCUAAGUGAGUUCUAAGUUUCAAUUUCAUUACUUUGCUUGCUAUUGCUUUAAGAACGUUUGUUAUCCCUAUCCUUCAUUUGUUAGCCAAUACCUGAUGUGAAAAUUAACUAGCACUCAAAUUAAACCCUCUUUUUAUCAAUUGUAGCAAUGUAUGUAAGUAGGGAUCGUUCUGGACCGGGGAUUAGGAGGGAUUGCAAAAUCACUUCGAAUUGACUCAAAUACGUAAAAACAAGUUUAAAAUACUAAACUAGACUCAAAGAAUGCAAAACUAAACUCUAAAACACCAAAACAAACCAAAAGACUCAAAACAGCCCCAAAACACUCAAAACUGCCUUAAAAACACAAUCUGGGCAGUUUUGAACACUAGACACAAAAUUGGACGAAAAUUGGUUUUAACUUGACCUAAGACACUUAAAAACACAAACUAAAACACUUACUAACUAAUUUGACACUUUAAAACAAAGGGGGAUUGAUUUUGGACGAAUUUAAAAACAAAACAAACUUUGUAA
rnacentral:lncRNA from 1 species